rnacentral:rRNA from 1 species
AUUGAACGCUGGCGGCAUGCCUUACACAUGCAAGUCGAACGGUAACGGGCCUUCGGGUGCCGACGAGUGGCGAACGGGUGAGUAAUACAUCGGAACGUGCCCGAUCGUGGGGGAUAACGAGGCGAAAGCUUUGCUAAUACCGCAUACGAUCUACGGAUGAAAUCAGGGGACCGCAAGGCCUUGCGCGGACGGAGCGGCCGAUGGCAGAUUAGGUAGUUGGUGGGAUAAAAGCUUACCAAGCCGACGAUCUGUAGCUGGUCUGAGAGGAUGAUCAGCCACACUGGGACUGAGACACGGCCCAGACUCCUACGGGAGGCAGCAGUGGGGAAUUUUGGACAAUGGGCGCAAGCCUGAUCCAGCCAUGCCGCGUGCAGGAUGAAGGCCUUCGGGUUGUAAACUGCUUUUGUACGGAACGAAAAGCCUUCUUUUAAUACAGGAGGGUCAUGACGGUACCGUAAGAAUAAGCACCGGCUAACUACGUG